rnacentral:lncRNA from 1 species
ACAGUAAUAGUUGAUAAUCAUAGUAAAUAUAAUACGUUUUAAAUGUGACAGUAUUUUUCUGUUUUUUACAGACAUUUUCUGGCGCCCCCUGCUUUUUUUUUACAGUGUAUGUAUAAUGGAUGGCACAGGGGAACAGCUGGUAAGUUAUCGGUUUUAGACAAUUUUUGACAUUUUUAGACAAAAUAUUAAAAAUUUUAUAGGAAUAUUCAUUAAAUUAAAGGGUUUGCCAUUGGCCUUUUCAUCAGCCCAGGUCUUGUAGCACUUGGACUUUCGCAGAUCCUUCUGUUCAUAGGAGACAGGGGCGGAGCCAACGCCCUAGACAAGUGGGCGGGACUAACUUGGGGGCACUGGAAAAAGACAAAUUUCAGCAUCUGAAAGCAGCAAAGUCAGCAUACAGCUACAUGAAGGCAGCAGUCUGAACUGAAGAUUGAGGCGUGUUUGCGGCUCUUCAGUCUGGCCGAGUCACAGGAGGCUGAUGGUAUGCAUAGGAAGAGCAGCCAGGCGAGAGUUGCAGUAGUCAAGCCUCGA